rnacentral:misc_RNA from 1 species
UUAGGGAACAAAUUGUAAUUUUAUUAUUUUUUAUUUUUGGAAACAGGUUUUAUUACUACUACGGGGCAACAAUGUGCUAUCUCGUGCUUUGCUUUGAACUUCUGUUCAAUUGAAUAGGACUUGGCGUUACAAGGUCUACCAAAAAAUUAGAAAUGGUUGAAAAAAUGUUAAUUGGGAGGGCAAGAGGAAUUGAAGACUACAGAAAAGUCCUACUGUAGUAGAGAAAAUCAACUUUUUCCAUUACUCACAGCCCUGAGUUUCAGCACUAGUUGCCCGCGUUCAGCCUCGACCUCUGCACAUUUAAGGCUCAUCUGGAAGUAGCGUUCCUGCAAAGCUCUCAACUCUAUCUCAAGUGAUUGUGCCCUACCCGCAUGUUCUUUUAUUGCUUCAUUAUCAUCUGCCAAGUUCUUGUGAGCAUUUGAAUGAUCUUUACAUCCCUCGGACAAAAAACUGAACAUAAGCAACAGUUGUCGUUAGUGCUGCUACAAACAGAUCAAGAAUGGAUUUAACAUAGUGCAUUGAGAGUAUUUUUGGAAUUCUAUUAAGAUUCAAGGCACAAUAAGUUGCCCAAUUUAAAUCUCAACUAAACAAGAAACCAUUUGCUCAGCCAGUGGCCUGAUGUUAAAAUUGAUUUUGAGAGUUCAUUUAAAUUGCAGCUACAAGAAGACAAUAUAAGCAUCACAUAGCUUAACGCACCCCCAAAAGUUGGCUAAGGGGGAGGAGUGCUUAAAACCUUAUAAGGGGCACAUGAUACCCCUUUCUCAAGCCAACGUGAGAUAUUAAUACACCUUCUUGAUACCCAAAUCAAACACUGAGCGUGAAACACUCGUGGGAGACUCAAACAUUGGUUGAGAGGCUUUGAUAUUAUCUUAAAAAAAUGGGUCGGGUCUAACUUAUUCCCAAAAGCCAACUCAAGAGGGAAGAGUGUCCUAGGCUAUAUAAGGGCAUAUUACCCUUAUCCAAAUCAAUGUGGAAUAUAACAUACUUCCCUCACGUCCAGAAUAUUAUGAAAUAUUUAUGGGAGACCCAAAUAUUGAUUGGAGAGACUCUAAUGUCAUCUUUAAAAAAAUGGACUAGGCUUAACUCACCCUAAAAGCUCACUCAAGGGGAGAGGAGUGCUUAAGGCCUUAUAAGGGCUACAUUACCCCUAUGCUAAGCCAAUGUGGGACAUUAACAACUAGUAAUACCUUGACCAAUCAUCAACGUUAAAUGGAACUCAACUAACAAAAGCCAUUACUGUUGCUAUAUUUCCUUUUGAUCUACCAUCCUUUUAAUAAAUGUUAAAACUAAUAUUAUUAGAUAGGUAAAUUUCUGAUUGAGUGAAGUGAUCAUAAAGUAACAAACAAGGGUGCAUGAUUAUGUAAUACACGAAUAUUAGUUUUGUGCACAAAUAUUGAGAAAAAAAAAACCACUUGUACCCACCUCUUAAGUUGUGUUUUAUACAUGUCAUUUACCUCCAAAGCCUCAGCUAGUUCACUUUCAAGUAGCUGGAUUUUUGAUAACGAGUCAAUUCCCAUAACUGUAGAGUCUCCUGGAGCACAAUUUUGUUUGUUAUCAACCUGUGAAAGCUUCAAUUCAUCAGAAGUGGAACUAGUAAUGGUAUUAUAAUGAGGAGAAAGGUGAAGACUAUUGUCAGAAUUUUGUCGAUCUAGUUUUUCUUCUUUCCUCUUCUUUAGCUCCAGUUCAAAAGCUUGAGCUCUAUUAAGACAUUCUUGCUUCUCUACCUGAAGGAGUCUUAUCUUCCUCCGUAAUUCGCUAUUUAAUCUCUUAACCCGGGAAAGCUCAUUUUUGAACUCUGCAUCCUGUGCACCAAGUGCCUCUCUUGCAGUUAAAUCCCCUUCCAGCCGCAAAACCUUUUCCUCAAGGGAAACUUUACAGCGUUUGCAGUCCUCUAACUCAGCCACAGCUCUCUGUAGUGAAACUUCAAGUCUUUGUUUUUCAAAUUGGACCCCAUUAAGGAAUUUCUUAAGAUUCAAAAUCUCAUUUUGAAGCACUGGUGUUUUCUGCAAUUGAACCCUAAGGCUGGAAAUUUCUUCUUCUAGUUGUAGCCUCUCAUAUGCAGAAACCUUAAGUUUUAACUCUUGCCCCCUAACAAUGUUUUUAUGUUUGUCUUCAUUGGAUUUCACAUCUUCCAACAAUUCCAAUAGCUUUUCACGGUCAGCCAUCAGAACUUCCUGGUUUUGUUUGGAAGCUGCAAGCUCAUCCAUUAGUCCUAACAGCUUUGUUUCUGAUUCCAUCCGAAGGGUACUGAGGUUACUUUCAGAUACUUUAAGUUUUUUUCGGACUUCUUGUAAUGAAGCUUCAUGCAAAGCUUUGUGGGCACAAAGUUGAGAUACUUCAAGUACAGCUGCUGAAGCUGCUCUUUCCUUUUCAUCAUGCUUUGCAGACAAAUGUUCAGUCAGGCGUUCAACCUCUCUAUGAAGAUUCUUAGCUUCAACUGACUUCUCCAAGUACAUCUGGUUCAACUGGCUCUCUUCCAAAUCAAGUUUUUCUUUAUAUUUUUUAUUUUCUUGAAGAAGUGCAUCUAGUUCUAAACUAAGGGCUUUCUCUUUAGACGCAAUUUCUUCCAGCAUGAAAGUAUAUUUUCCUUCAAGAGCUUCAACUUCCUUGAACAUAUCAGAAAAGCUUUUUUGCAAUUCACUCAGUUCAGCUUCCAAGAAUGUACAAUGCUCAUGUAACUCCAUUUUCUGCUUCCUUAAUUCUACAAUUGAUUGCUGAAGCGAACUGCACUCAUCAAUAAGACUUUCAGCUGUAGUUUGUAAUUUUAGAUUUGCUAUUUUCAGAUAUUCACACUCCUCUUGAGCUUCUAACCACUUCUUUUGCAUGUCCUGCAACUUUUGCUUUUUAUCACACUUCUGUGCUUCCAAUUCCCUUUUCAGUAUUCUCACCUCUUCCUGAAGAUUUACAGCACAUGAUUCUGAAUUCUGCAAUUCCAUGCGACUUGAUUCCCUCUCGUCAGUCAAGUAUCUUAGUUGAGCUUCCAAGCCACAUAUUCGUUCUGAUAACUGUACAUUUUCUUUUUCUAGUUCGGACAAGUGAACUUCUACUUCAUUUUUGAUGCUGUCAAGCUCUGGUGAUUUCAAUGCAAGAAUAUUGUCAGUUGAAACAUGGGAAUCCAUGCUACUAUUACACACCAUUAUAUCAUUUCUUGAAUCAUCCAUGAAUGUAGUCGUCAUCAUAUUAUUAUUAAACACCAUCAUUUCCUUUUGUGAAUCAUCCAUGCAUGUUGAUGCCAUCUUACUUUCUUUUAGCAUAACUUCUAUGCUUUCUUCCAACUGCCUUUUCUCAUUCUGAAGUUUAGAAAUCUGAGUUUCCAACUCUCUUUGGCAAUUCCUCAGAGCUUCCACCUCUAGUUCCUUCAAGAAAUUAUCAGACUUAAGCUUGUCUAUCUCAAAUGUCUUUUCCAAUAUCUCAUUACCCGAAUCAGUAAUUUCAGGUUUACAUUUCAUUUGCAGACUCUCCUGUUCCAGAUUAAAUGUGCUCGAAGUAUUCUUCUUUGCAUUGCAAGUCUCUACGUCAUUCUGGACCUCCUCAGCAUUUGCUGUUCUUGUUCUGACUUCUCCAUUUUGCUUCAUUUCAUCAUCACAUAGGACUUUUGCUUCAAAAAAAUCUUUUAGCUGGACAAAACUGUUCAAAACAGAAACAGCUUGUUCUUUUUGAGUACAUAAACCUGCAGCAUUUGAAAUCUCUGUGUCAUCAUUGUAACAUUCAGUGGUUACAGGCAAAUAAGAAUUACACUGUUGCCUCUUUACUCUGGCUAAACACAAUUGAAUCUCUUCAUGCAACUGAGAUAGUGUUUUGGAUAUUUCCACAGCAGCAUCUGACUGAGAAAUCUUGAAGUCUGUACUGAUUUCUGCAACAUGGUGUUCUAAUUGUCGUAGUGUAGAAAUCUCAAUUUCCUGCUCUUCUGCUUUGGCACGAUAUUUACAGAGUUCACCUUCAAGGUAACAUGUUUUGUCCUUGAAAGCUUCUAACUGAAGCUUCAGGUCAGAACAAUUCUUUUCAAGAUUUGUACACUGGGUCUGCAGGUGAUCAGUGGACAGUCCUUCAAUAAGCAUUUCUUUCUUGCUCAGCUCCUCUUCAAGCUUGCAUAUUUGAGAUUUCAUUUUGCUUACUUCAGAUUCAGAGGUAAAAAUAGAAUCAUUCUCCAGAAAUUCUUUUUUUAGAGAAUUGUAAGAGGCACCACAUCUUGGAAGAUCCCCUUUCGAUUCUUUGAGCUUAAGUAGAAGUUCUAGAUUUUCAUCUGUAAGCUCAUUGCAAUCUUUCUCAAGCUCCUCUAUCUUCUGUUUCAGAACUUUGACUUCAUUAGUGAGAUUGAUAUUUCCCCCAUUUUCAAAAUCAUCAGCCUUGGAUGCUGCUUCAGAUAACUUAGCCUCCAAGUUGACGAUUUCUUCCUCUUUUACAGCUAACUUAUUUCUCCAUUGUGCUUCACUGUCCGCUAGAGUUUGGGUCUUCAAACUCUUUUCAGCCUCUAUCUCCUGAACUUUUUCCUGCAGAGAUUUUUCCAGAAACCGAAUAGUACUUUCUAAGUUCUUUUGCGAUUCUUUCAACUUCCAUAACUCCAGCUCAGGGUUCCUGUUGUCCUCUGGUUCAAAACCUUCUGGUAAAUCUCCCAAUUCAUGUUCAACAGUACUUCCUUCUGGAUCUGAAUCACAAGAGACUUUGCUCAUAUUCUUUGCAAAAACAUCCUUAUUUGGCCUCAUCUCCACAUUGUCUUCAAGUCCAUGGCUACACAUGCUUUUAGAAUCCAUUUUUGUAAGAUUAGCAAUUUCCAUUUUCUGUUUUUCUAUGGUAUCUUCUAGUUCUUGAAGUAUGGAAACAAGCUCAAUGUUCGACUCUUGAGUUUUCUUUAGCUGUAAAGCCAAGUUAGCAUUUGACUCUUUCUGAUACUUCACUUCAUCUUCCAAUUCUUUCUGAAGAUCAUUCACUUCUUUGGCCUGAUACUUCAAAUUCUCAGUGGAUUUUUGCUUUGCCGCUGAUUCCUCCAACAAGAUCUUCACUUGUUUGAUCUCCUCUUUCAAGCCAUCACAUUCUUUGCGUGAUUCAUAAAGUUCUGUUUCAAGACUUUCCUGGUGCUUUGAUUGGUCCAACAAUUCAUUCUGCAAUUUUUCCAGAUCAGUCAUUAACUUUCGAGCAUUUAGUUCCCACAUCCUAGCCUCUGCUCGAAGUUCAUUAAUUGUAACUUCUGCAGCUUCCAGAAGGUCCUUAGAUGAACCAGCAUUCCGCAAAGUUGAUGAGGCAACAGAGUGUGAAUCCUGAUUUAAGUCACCCCUUUGAUUCUGAAGGCUGAUUUGUGAAGUUGACACCUUUGAUUUAAAGGAUGAGUGAGUUGAUCUAGAAGAAUCAUUAAAAGAAUAAGAUCCAUUAGGAUAACUACUUUGGGAGCUGGUUGAAUCAUGUCGUCCAAUCUGGUUGCUCACAAAGCUGGUUAAGUUAUUUUGUGGGGAACAACUUUCCCUACCGAGGGAACCCUCCAUUGAGUCGAAGCUAUAACGUGAACCUGAUGCUGAGAAACUGAAAUCCCUACUAACUAGUUCUCCUGCAUGAGACGAACUAUCCAAAUGGUUGCUGGAGGAGGAUCCAACACUCUUGUUCAAUGAACUAUCAGAAACAUCUGAUUUGCUUUCCACAUCAUCAUAGUCUACGUUCCCAUCUUCCAUAACUGUGUCUUCCCACUGCUCCUCCCUGAGUUUCGCUCGUGGUGUUAGGCACUGGAUUUUAACUUGUAAGAUGGUCCCAUGGUUGCAUUUUUUUAAUUGUAAUGAAACAGGAAUAGCAGUUUUUGAACUCCUGUAGCUUGCCAAAUUAACUGUGGCCUCUCCAAGGAUGCCAGAUCUAGAUGAACCCAUGGAAACAACAAGCUUAAAGAGGUAUUCUCCUUUUUCUUUCGAUGUAUGACGUCGAGAAAUCCAAAUAGACUCUGACAGAGUCUCUGUCCAUUGACAACUUCCAUUCCUCACUGAUGCUUUCCCUGAUUUGGAGAGAGUUUUCCCUGUUUCUUCUGAAAUUAUAGAUACAUAAAGCUUGUCCCAUCCUUUUGGUACCUGAAGGGCCUGGAAGCUGGAGAACUUGAAAUCAAGUCUUUCUCCAGAUUUGCCAGACUUGAGCUUGUGUAACCUGAACAUUUUUCCUUUCCUUUCCUUCUUUUACUUUCCUGUUUCAGAAGAUUUUCAAAUUGAAGUCCAUAAUCUAGUCGCUACCACAAAAAAACAAUCUCACAUCACAUGCUCUUCUUCUUUACUCCCACA